rnacentral:lncRNA from 1 species
GGCAAGCUUCCAUGCCAUAUAUAGACAGACUCAUUGGAUCUCCCGAGGAAGUCAGAUUGGAAACUUACUGGGGCUGUGGCUGAGAUGUCACAUGGGAGAUAGGAUCACAAAUUUCUGUUGUAUCUGGAUGGAGAUCAGCAGGAGGAUCUAUGGACUGUUUGCUGUGAUUGCACCUGCCAUCUUAUGCAGAAAUGACCUGAAGACAGAUUGAAACAACGUGUUCUACAGCCUGAAAAUAUCUACCUUGACUUACAGUUUUAUUAAUGCUGGUGUGAUCAGACUGGACAAAAAUUAGCAUAUGUUAUUAACUAAUCUAAUUCAAAU